GGUGUGUUUUUGUAAAGGUAUAUUGGCUUCUACUCUUAUGAUCACUUCAAUGUUUUUCAGGCCAUGUGUGACAUGUGGCUGCUAGGCGAUUCUCAAUAUUUAAUUCAAUGAGAAUAAAAUUAUAAGGCAAAGUGACUAUCAAGUGCUGCAGUAAAUCUGAAUUUCACUAUUUUUAGUUUUUUUACUUUGUAUUUUGGUAUAGCAUCUGAAUGAUACUGCUUUGGGAAAAGUGCCUGUGCAUGCAAUCAUUCCUUGCUAGUAAACACAACUCUGCAUCUAAACCUGGACAGUUCACCACGGUACUUACCAGUUACCACAAAGAUCCUUAUGCAAAGGAGUUUGGCAUCAAAAUCAGUGAGAAACUUGCUUCGAUUGAAGCAUGCAUUUUACCUACACUUUGCUUAAAUCCCAUGACACUGGUAGAGGAAAGGAUUGCUUGCCCCAAGUGGGUCCAUGGAAUAUGAUGAAUAAGGUAUACUCCUUCAGAAGUUGAAACUCUCAUUUUAACUGCGAAUUAAAUAUGCAUGUUGGUUCUGAUCGAUGACUCCAAAUUCUUAGGCUCUCGAUUCUUGUUGCUGCGAUUAAAAGAAAAGAAAAGAAAAGAAAAUACAGCCCUGUCCUAGUUUCUGUUCAUGUCUGAAAUAUGUUGCCUUUGCCUCCACAGAAAUGGUGUUGGGGCUGGUAUGUGCUAAGGCACAGAACCUUCUCACUGCAAUAACCAUGCAUGCAUGCAUGCUGGAACUUGUUGUCAUCUGCAGGUUCCUAUAGACUAAUAUUGUAUUGUUUGCAUUCAGCACCCUGCCUUCCUUCAACAGGUGGUAAUUUUGGGAUCAUGUUUUUAUACGUUAGGUCAUAACAUAACAUUAACAUGGCCUUUCUGUUACUUAUGCUGUGAUUUUGAAUGCCAGGCCUCGUACAUAACAGGGGGUGUCCAUCUGAAGCCCUAGCAUUUAGAGGGAUUGUUUCAAUAUCUUUCAGUAUGUUACUUACCAGAAAAAAAAAAAAACAUUUUUUGCCUACUUUUGAGGUUUUUAUGCUUCCAAUGGCAUAUUAUUUCUAUUCUCAGUCACGACUAUGUAAUUAUGGAUGAUAGGUUAUGCUUUAAACUUCAUUGAUGUAGUGAAAAAUAAGAGUUUCCUUGGGGUCCAAAUGGGUUUUAAAAAGAAAAAUCGAUGGUGAUGGAGUCGUUGGCUUUAGUUCACAAUGCUCGAGUUCCGAUCAUAGGGCUUUACUGCUUGGUUCCAAUGGCUUCUUGUCAGUAAUCUUGCCAUACGAUGUCUGCCAACUUGUGUUUGUGUGGUCUCACAUGCAGCCAGUUGAACCAUAGUAUUAUCAUCCAGGUGGUGCAUAAUUGCCUACUUAUCGUCUGUGUAAGUCUGUAUGACCUCCAAUCUAUCCAAUUGGUUUGCCCCACCAUGAAGAUCACCUGGUGCAAAAGUCCAAAUUAUCCACUCAUCAAGCGGUCAUACUUGUACAUAGGACCAGUUUGGCGGUUGUCCAUUGUUUUUUGUGGUCCACAAGAUGAGGGGAUUGGUCUGAUUUUUGCAUCAGGUGUUCUUUGUGGUGGGGCCAAGCAAUGAGUGCAUCAUCACAGUUUUUGCAUUUAUGUAUUUCUAUUUUGUUGAUGAAUUACUUUACUAUGAAUAAUUGCACAUCAUUUUUAGGCUUUAACCAGAGAUUUAAUUUGUACUCUCUAGAUUUUAUAGGCGAUGCUACUUGCACAUUUCAGGCGAUUGAUGAGAGAGUUUUACACAUAUGCAUGACCAAGCUGUUCAUCCAACCUGAUUCUUGGACCAAGCAUAAGUUGUGGGUGAGUUUUACUAACAUGUGUGUGAAGCAUUGCUCAACCAAAUGCAGCCACAUGCACCAAUGUAGCGUAAGGUUGUGAGAUAAAAGCUUUCCAUUAAGUGGGUCACACUUUUUAGAACUUUUAGCUUAAAAAUCAAGUGUUUCCUUCCUCAAGUUUUUAGAACUUUUAGCUUAAAAAUCAAGUGUUUCCUUCCUUAAUUGUCUAUUUGCAGCCCACCAACCCAAGGAUUCAAAGGAAACCUCAGGGAUUCAUCCAUUUUGGACUCAUCAUGUGUUGUUAGUUGUUACUGAUAAAGG